GCCAGUGUGGCAUAGUGGCUUGAGUGUUGGACUGUGACUCUGGAGACCAGUGUUUAAUUCCCAGCUUGGCCA
rnacentral:tRNA from 1 species